GGGGGGACCGGUGGGGGGAGCGCGCCUCGCCAGCUGUCCAAGGCUGCCGGGCUGGCAUAGACAUGCAUGACCCCCUCACCUGGCCCCCACGUUAUCCCCGAAAUCCCGACAACACGCGUGCAGAUGCCUGACUUCCCAGGAUAGUGAAGACUGUGUGGUCCUCUUGGUAUCUUGACCUGAUAGCCAGUGUCACCAGCUGGUCUGCCAACUAGGAAGGAGGAGGCCCUUCUGGAAGAUCCAACACCCAGAUGAAUUAGUUGGUCAACUGCUUAGCAUUUUCUCUCCCUGUAUCGUAUGAGUGUCUGUAACCUUUAUAGUGAAGUGCUAUAAAACGCCUGCUUAAUCCCUGCCUAGUGAGUUUCAAAUCUUAGCUGUUGAACAACCACUAGGUAAAAAAUAUAUAAAUGACUUUGACAC
ensembl:sense_overlapping Gm27238 predicted gene 27238